rnacentral:rRNA from 1 species
UACGGGAGGCAGCAGUGGGGAAUAUUGGACAAUGGGCGCAAGCCUGAUCCAGCAAUGCCGCGUGAGUGAUGAAGGCCUUAGGGUUGUAAAGCUCUUUCGCACGCGACGAUGAUGACGGUAGCGUGAGAAAAAGCCCCGGCUAACUUCGUGCCAGCAGCCGCGGUAA